AGAUAGAUAGAUAGAUAGAUAGAUAGAUAGAUAGAUGAUAGUGUUUUUCUAUUUGUGGUUUUUCGACUUUCGCAGGUUUCCUGUCCCAGCAAAUGUGGAGGGCCCAGUGUAAUUGAGCUAAAGCUGAUUAAUAUGUACUAAUAAUUCUAUCUGGGGUGCUUGUUUCUCAUGGGUAGUAAAUAUUACAACCAAAUUACUCAUACACAUCACACUAAGAUCACUUUCCUUUCCCUUCUCUGUGUAAAACUGACUAAAAUGUACAUGUUAAAAAAUAGUUGUUUCUCUCUGCUUUCUGUUCUUCAUAAAGGAUCUUCAUGCAAGUAUGAGAGGCUCCAAGGUACUUCGUUUACAUAGCCUGUUUACUCAGAAGUAAGUUCCACUUUGUUCAGUGAGAGCUACUCCCUGGCUCGGGUGAUGGGAGAAUAUGGUCUCAGUCCUCAGCUUAGGGAAGCAGAGUCUCACUAUCUGCAGUAAAAGAUGCUGCCACCUAUAAAGUGUGCAUUUAAAGUCGAGUGGUCUAAAAGAAUUUUUUCCAGGCUGAUGGCAAGAAGUGGAAAAGUUAAGCUUCAAGCAAUGUACAGAUGUAAAAAACUGGUUUGGUGAAGAGCUCAAAGAGUUGAACCAAGACUUGGCAGAUUCUACUUCUAGUCCCUGCUGAUGCCUGUAGCUCACUAGCUGGCCUUGGGCCUGAUACUGUUUCCUAGGCCAACAGACAGGAUUAUUGCAAGGUGAUCAGAUGUCCUCCUUUCCCAGAACAUGUCCUACAUUUCAACCUUCUGUACAAGAGGAAUUCUAAAACAGCCUCUGUUUUGAGCAUGACUAAGAAGCCCAUUGAGCAACACCAUGUUUGCUGUUCCCCUUUGAGAAAUGCAUCUGUGUGGCAGCCUGCCUUGCUGCAAAUAAGAGGAUAGGAUGGAUUCUUCUAUUUUCCCAGGAGAAGCCGUUGACCGCUGAGCUCCGGGUGCAUUUGUUUCUUGGAGGGAAAAAGGACAAAACUUGACCACAGAGCUCAGACCACAUUUGUUUCUUGGAGGAAAAAAAAGGACAGCAAUAGGCUGCUUGAGGACACAAUGCAAAUAUUGAAAGGGUUUUUUCUUUAAUUUCAGCACAAUGGACAAAUGAAAGGAAUCAUUUAAUUGUAGAUUCAGUCAUGGAUUUGUUGCUAAUAAUGUACAAUUUUAAGCAAUUGACUUGCUCAGAGUUCUAUACGUAUACUGCAAGCCAACAAGGCAUUUUAAAACAGUUGAGUACAUAUUAUAGUACAGUAUAUGUAUAUAUAGGUGUAAAUAAACCGUAUGAAAAUUGUGUUAUUUUAAGUGUGCUUAGCUUUUAUUUUGCAAAGUCCUAAAAUUUUCUUGAAUGCCCUAUAUUUUGGUCUGUAUCUGUUUUAACCCCCUUAUGAGUUUUGGGUGUGAUCCAGUUUUAUCUUUGUAUGUACACGGAUAUUUUUUAUCUUGUAUUUUAUAUUUUGUAUUUUGUAAUUGUAUUUAGUAUUCCACUGAUAUGGUCAGAUGACUAAUCAUUAAACCUGUUGUUGUUA